rnacentral:rRNA from 1 species
ACGCUCGACACCUACGGGAGGUAGCAGUGGGGAAUAUUGCACAAUGGGGGAAACCCUGAUGCAGCGACGCCGCGUGAAGGAAGAAGUAUUUCGGUAUGUAAACUUCUAUCAGCAGGGAAGAAAAUGACGGUACCUGACUAAGAAGCCCCGGCUAACUACGUGCCAGCAGCCGCGGUAAUCUGAGCGGGCUGGCAAGGC